GAUGAACGCUGGCGGCGUGCCUAAUACAUGCAAGUCGAGCGAAUGGAUUAAGAGCUUGCUCUUAUGAAGUUAGCGGCGGACGGGUGAGUAACACGUGGGUAACCUGCCCAUAAGACUGGGAUAACUCCGGGAAACCGGGGCAAAUACCGGAUAACAUUUUGAACCGCAUGGUUCGAACUUGACAGGCGGCCUCGGAUGUCACUUAUGGCUGGACCCGCGUCGCAUUAGCUAGUUGGUGAGGUAACGGCUCACCCAGGCAACGAGGCGUAGCCGACCUGGGAGGGUGAUCGGCCACACUGGGACUGAGACACGGCCCAGACUCCUACGGGAGGGAGCAGUAGGGAAUCUUCCGCAAUGGACGAAAGUCUGACGGAGCAACGCCGCGUGAGUGAUGAAGGCUUUCGGGUCGUAAAACUCUGUUGUUAGGGAAGAACAAGUGCUAGUUGAAUAAGCUGGCACCUUGACGGUACCUAACCAGAAAGCCACGGCUAACUACGUGCCAGCCGCCGCAGUAA
rnacentral:rRNA from 1 species